rnacentral:lncRNA from 1 species
UAAUUCUCUUUAUUAGAUGACUAGCUUGCUGAACACUAUUCAUUACAGGUUUGUUACCUGAUUCUACAUGGCCUCCUCUCCCUGUAGCACCACAUAGGACCCUGCAGCUCGAAGCAUGACAUGAGAAUGAGGGCCUGCUCCACCCCUGCAAAACAGUGACCAAGGAGGGACACAGAGUAAAUGGAAACUUGGAUUCAUCUCAACAUCUACACACCAGCCAGCAGAACAACCUCUAGAAAGGAAGAAAUGGGGGAAGAAAAGACCAUGGAAGCACUGAGAAAACUGAAGGAUUCCUUCCUCGAAAGACUCUGUGACAAGGAAUUGAAAUAUAACAUGACUCUAUAGGCAGGUAUGCGUACGGAGAGAUCGUAAGGUGGAUGCUGUGGUUGCCCGCAAGUGAAAUUGAGGGCAAGAUUUGGACCACAGGCCCUUUAUCAUUGAUAAAUGAUGAUGGUGCAUAAUCCAGGAAGACCGCAGGUUGAUUUUCAGAUCCAAGGUUCAAGUCUGCAGCAAUUACAACUAGAAAAAGUUCUCUCUAUACUUGUGAACUGAGCAAAUGUGAUCCAGAAAUCAUCGUUUUUGCAGACUGACUAUCCUCAACAUACAUACAUUUUAAGAUACUCAUGUUGUGAUUACUCUACUCAGUACUGGAGCUGUGGGAGAGCACUGAGGAUCAAAUUCUGCCUAAUGAAUUAACAGAAGCUGUAACUAAAUACUAUAUUAUAUUUAAGCACAGAAAGCCUAUUAAUCUGCAUUCAGCUAAAGACCUAAGAAUGUCAGCUAGCAUUCCUCUGCAGGAUUCCAGCAGGCACAUCAUUUGCCACAUUUCUCUCAUGACUUUCCAAAAAAGACAUCUCUUAAAUAUGGUCAAAGUUGUUUAAGCUGAGCAUCAUUUAAAUUUACACCUGAAAAAAUGCCUAGAUUUUAUAACCUGCAUAAAUUAGUGGAUUUACACAGCUAACCAUCAUGCUGGAGCAAAACUACAAGUUAUUUUUUCUUCUUGUCAUAAAGGUCCUCAGAUGCCAGUAAGAAAGGCAGGGUUUCUCAAACAGGGGUCGCCGCUUAUGUAGGGAAAGCCCCUGGCGGGCCAGGCCAAUGUGUUUACCUGCUCCAUCCACAGGUUUGGCCGAUUGCGGCUCCCACUGGCUGCAGAUCACUGCUCCGGGUCAAUAGGAGCUGCUGGAAGCAGCGCGGGCCGAGGGCUUUCCCUACAUAAGCGGUGACCCCUGUUUGAGAAACCCUGGAGAAAGGGAUAUAAUUAAGUUAUUCAGUCCAUGGCAGAGAGACAAUUACUGAUGACUUGAGGUGCCAACAAGACAUGAUAAAACGGAAGACAAGAGAAUUGGUUAAAAAUCAGGCAAAAAAAAGACAUUUGUUUAGUGUCUAACCCUUGUAGGGUAAGAUUCUUUGAUACUUAAGACAAAUGUCUCAAUAAUGCUGUGUAUUUUUUAUGGCCUUUUCUAUAGGAUACAAGAUUAUCCCGAAUUCUUUUAAGUAACUUCAGGGCUGGAAUCCUCCAUCUUUGCAGGUACCUAUAUCACAAUUAAACUGCCCUGUAGACUGAGCCUCAUAAACCCAAGUCAGCUGAUACGGACCCAGCCAUGGGUGUUUAACUGCAGUAUAGACAUACUCUUAGUGCCUGAUAUAAAGCCCAGUGAAGUCAAUGGGAGCACCACUGCUGAAUUUAAUGGGUAUUGAAUCAGACACUUACACCAGACUCCCCUGUCACACAUACCUUUGCAAGUCCCAUUGAUUUCAGUAGGGUUAUAUGGGAAUAACUAAGAACUGAAUUUUAGUCACUGGUUAAUGGAACUGCAUGGAGUAACUGGGAGCAUUGGGCACUUUCCCCUUUUGUUAGAGAUUGAAAUUUUUAUAUCUCAGUUGACUUCUCAAAAGGUGCACUGAAAAGUUGGGUGGGUUUUUUUUGAACAACAGCUCAGAUCACUAAUAAAAUAUUUCAGCUGAAUUUUAUAACA